CCUACGGGAGGCUGCAGUGGGGAAUAUUGGACAAUGGGCGAAAGCCUGAUCCAGCCAUGCCGCGUGUGUGAAGAAGGCCUUCGGGUUGUAAAGCACUUUCAGUGGGGAAGAAAGCCUUGGGGCUAAUACCCUCGAGGAAGGACAUCACCCACAGAAGAAGCACCGGCUAACUCCGUGCCAGCAGCCGCGGUAAUACGGAGGGUGCGAGCGUUAAUCGGAAUUACUGGGUGUAAAGCGCGCGUAGGCGGUCUGAUAAGCCGGUUGUGAAAGCCCCGGGCUCAACCUGGGAACGGCAUCCGGAACUGUCAGGCUAGAGUGCAGGAGAGGAAGGUAGAAUUCCCGGUGUAGCGGUGAAAUGCGUAGAGAUCGGGAGGAAUACCAGUGGCGAAGGCGGCCUUCUGGACUGACACUGACGCUGAGGUGCGAAAGCGUGGGUAGCAAACAGGAUUAGAUACCCCGGUAGUC
rnacentral:rRNA from 1 species